UACGUAGGGGGCCAGCGUUGCUCGGAAUUACUGGGCGUAAAGGGUCCGUAGGCGGUGUGACAAGUCGGUAGUGAAAUCUCCGGGCUUAACUCGGAGGCUGCUGCCGAAACUGUUGUGCUAGAGUGUGAGAGAGGCGAGUGGAAUUACGGGUGUAGCGGUGAAAUGCGUAGAUAUCCGUAGGAACAUCCGAGGCGAAAGCGGCUCGCUGGAUCACAACUGACGCUGAGGGACGAAAGCUAGGGGAGCAAACAGG
rnacentral:rRNA from 1 species